rnacentral:rRNA from 1 species
AAGCGGUAAGAGCUCAAAUUUGAAAGCUGGCUCCUUCGGGGUCCGCAUUGUAAUUUGCAGAGGAUGCUUCGGGAGCGGUCCCCAUCUAAGUGCCCUGGAACGGGACGUCAUAGAGGGUGAGAAUCCCGUAUGGGAUGGGGUGUCCGCGCCCGUGUGAAGCUCCUUCGACGAGUCGAGUUGUUUGGGAAUGCAGCUCUAAAUGGGUGGUAAAUUUCAUCUAAAGCUAAAUAUUGGCCGGAGACCGAUAGCGCACAAGUAGAGUGAUCGAAAGAUGAAAAGCACUUUGAAAAGAGAGUUAAAAAGCACGUGAAAUUGUUGAAAGGGAAGCGCUUGCGACCAGACUCGCUCGCGGGGUUCAGCCGGCAUUCGUGCCGGUGUACUUCCCCGCGAGCGGGCCAACGUCGGUUUGGGCGGUCAGUCAAAGGCCCCUGGAAGGUAACGCCCCCUCGGGGGCGUCUUAUAGCCAGGGGUGCAAUGUGGCCUGCCUGGACCGAGGAACG